rnacentral:rRNA from 1 species
GAUCCUGGCUCAGGACGAACGCUGGCGGCGCGCCUAACACAUGCAAGUCGAACGGACACAUCCGACGGAAUAGCUUGCUAGGAAGAUGGAUGUUGUUAGUGGCGGACGGGUGAGUAACACGUGAGCAACCUGCCUCGGAGUGGGGGACAACAGUUGGAAACGACUGCUAAUACCGCAUACGGUGGUCGGGGGACAUCCCCUGGCCAAGAAAGGAUUAUAUCCGCUCUGAGAUGGGCUCGCGU